AACAUUAAAUACAAUACAUACAAUAAUAUCUUCACUGCAAUGUGUCACAACCAGAAAUGAUUCAUUAAUAAAUGUGUAUAUCAUUCUUCAAAUAAAACAUGUACAAAUACCCCUCCAGGCGGCUCUAUAGACAGAGACCAAUCAUUAUAGUAGGCCCAACACUGGCGUAUGACGUCGCAAACUGUGGGUAGUGGAGACCAAUAGCAUGUUGCCACGUCACAGGUAUGACGUACUGACGUAUCAACUAGUUAUUGGUCUCCACCACCCAAAGGCUGCGAUGUCACAGGCAAGUGUCGGGACCCACUACCACGUUUGGUCUCACACAAAUACAUGGCCAUAACAUUUAGUCUAGAUUCUGUUCUUCUGUUUGAGAUAUUUUUGUUCCAUUCACCUUUCUUAGAGUCUAUGUCAAACUGACCUCGACCUACUGGACCGUGAAGACAUUCGGAAAGAUUUCUGCCGCGCUCUGCCGCACCUCCCAGUGCUAAAGAACACCUGGACGAGCUUACGAAAUUUUUUUCCAAAGGCGUAAUACAGGAGGAAGUUAGUGGCGGAGGUCGAUAGGAAGAUGAAGUCACAGACCAGAUUGAAGGUAAUACACCACUGCGGACUGGAGCAGGGACCUUGUAAGUUUAAGAACACCUGCACCACAGCAAAUACCUGGGAACAGGAAACAGACAGUGAACAAAAACACACAGAUACUGGGUCAAAGAUGUAACGGUGAUGCUGGUGGUAUCGCGUGGUUAUCACGCACUAUGACAUCAAGAUGAAAAUCUAUGGCUUCCUUCAGCCGUAAAUUGACUAUGGAUGGAUUAUCUAAAAAAAAAUGAGAUGAAUGCCUGGGCAUUAUCUAUGGUCGGUACGAUGUCACCCACACAGCAGUUUCCACCUGACCAAGCAGUUGAUGUAUCCGUAGGAGUGUCAAGCGCCAAUACAAUUUGGGAUCAGCCGCGUCGCAGGCUCUGUAACACUGUGAGUUUCAAACUUCCUAAGGAGCGCCGGCUCCAAAUGUUUCCUCAGGGUAGUGUCAAGAGCCGGGGGGAGGGUGUAAAAUGUGAGAUUGUGUGUGUGUAUGUUUAUUAGUUGUGAGGGUGAACUAUUUGAGCACGGAAUUUUCAAGGGGAGAUAAUAAGGUUUCCUGUGGUCAGUCUAGUUAGUUGGAGAACUGACCUGGUCUGAGUAGGGUGUUGGUGAUUGUUGUCAGGGGUGUUGCCUAGAUUAAGGAGAUAUUAUUUCUGCAUUGUGUGUACUGAAUAUUUGGGAUAAUACUAUGUUGUGUCAUUGAUACCUUCAUGUAAUCUACUAUUGCAUCUAGUCUAGGCGCCCUGUAGUAUUUAAUUUGGGCACACUUAGAUACUCUUACUAUUGAUGAUUAUGUAUUCAUUAUUAUAUGUGUAACACAUUGUUUGCUGCAAAUAAAUAUUGAUUCUAUAA
rnacentral:sRNA from 1 species